UAGUAUCAGCGUGUCAGCAGCCGCGGUAAUACGUAGGGUGCGAGCGUUAAUCGGAAUUACUGGGCGUAAAGCGUAGCGCAGGCUGUUCUGUAAGUCAGAUGUGAAAUCCCCGAGCUCAACUUGGGAACUGCGUUUGAAACUACAGGACUAGAAUAUGUCAGAGGGGGGUAGAAUUCCACGUGUAGCAGUGAAAUGCGUAGAGAUGUGGAGGAAUACCAAUGGCGAAGGCAG
rnacentral:rRNA from 1 species